UACGUAGGGCGCAAGCGUUGUCCGGAAUUAUUGGGCGGAAAGAGCUCGUAGGCGGUUUGUCGCGUCUGCUGUGAAAGCCCGGGGCUCAACCCCGGGUCUGCAGUGGGUACGGGCAGACUAGAGUGCAGUAGGGGAGACUGGAAUUCCUGGUGUAGCGGUGAAAUGCGCAGAUAUCAGGAGGAACACCGAUGGCGAAGGCAGGUCUCUGGGCUGUAACUGACGCUGAGGAGCGAAAGCAUGGGGAGCGAACAGG
rnacentral:rRNA from 1 species